rnacentral:rRNA from 1 species
UGCAGUCGAGCGGUAGAGAGAAGCUUGCUUCUCUUGAGAGCGGCGGACGGGUGAGUAAUGCCUAGGAAUCUGCCUGGUAGUGGGGGAUAACGUUCGGAAACGGACGCUAAUACCGCAUACGUCCUACGGGAGAAAGCAGGGGACCUUCGGGCCUUGCGCUAUCAGAUGAGCCUAGGUCGGAUUAGCUAGUUGGUGGGGUAAUGGCUCACCAAGGCGACGAUCCGUAACUGGUCUGAGAGGAUGAUCAGUCACACUGGAACUGAGACACGGUCCAGACUCCUACGGGAGGCAGCAGUGGGGAAUAUUGGACAAUGGGCGAAAGCCUGAUCCAGCCAUGCCGCGUGUGUGAAGAAGGUCUUCGGAUUGUAAAGCACUUUAAGUUGGGAGGAAGGGUUGUAGAUUAAUACUCUGCAAUUUUGACGUUACCGACAGAAUAAGCACCGGCUAACUCUGUGCCAGCAGCCGCGGUAAUACAGAGGGUGCAAGCGUUAAUCGGAAUUACUGGGCGUAAAGCGCGCGUAGGUGGUUAGUUAAGUUGGAUGUGAAAUCCCCGGGCUCAACCUGGGAACUGCAUUCAAAACUGACUGACUAGAGUAUGGUAGAGGGUGGGUGGAAUUUCCUGUGUAGCGGUGAAAUGCGUAGAUAUAGGAAGGAACACCAGUGGCGAAGGCGACCACCUGGACUGAUACUGACACUGAGGUGCGAAAGCGUGGGGAGCAAACAGGAUUAGAUACCCUGGUAGUCCACGCCGUAAACGAUGUCAACUAGCCGUUGGGAGCCUUGAGCUCUUAGUGGCGCAGCUAACGCAUUAAGUUGACCGCCCGGGGGAGUACGGCCGCAAGGUUAAAACUCAAAUGAAUUUGACGGGGGGCCCGCACAAGCGGUGGAAGCAUGUGGUUUUAAUUCGAAGCAACGCGGAAGAACCUUACCAGGGCCUUGACAUCCAAUGAACUUUUCUAGAAGAUAGAUUGGGUGCCCUUCGGGGAACAUUGAAGACA